rnacentral:lncRNA from 1 species
UGCAGGCCUCUAAGUGCACAGGAGGGAGUAGCAGGGGUGGGUCCCAUUUGCAUGAGCAGCCCCUCCUUUCGAGCUCUGUGGACUGGGGAUAAGAGAGGCCCAGGGCAGCCCAGCCCCGGCUCUGAGGUCUAGGAAGGGCGUGCGUCACGAUGGCCUGGAUCCCCGUCCUCAUCGUGCUCCUCUGCCACUACACAGGUAGGGACAGGACCCAGUGUCCCAGGGUGGGCCUGCAGCCAGAGUGAAACCCCUGUGGCUCAGCUCCCUAAUCCCAUGUGCGCUGUUCCUUCUCUUCCCUCUGCUGUGUCUGUGUUUGCAGGUUCCCUGUCGCAGCCUGUCGUGACUCAGCCAGCCUCCCUCUCUGCAUCUCUGGGAGCCACAGCCAGAC